rnacentral:rRNA from 1 species
AUGGCCCCCAACAGAGCUCCGGGACCAAACAAUAUUCUUGUGGAGUUUUAUCAAGCCUGUUGGGAUAUAGUGAAAGGGGAUAUUAUGUCUCUUUUUAAGCAUUUUCAUGAUGGGACGCUGGAUGUACAACGUCUCAAUUAUGGGGUGAUCACUCUUCUACCUAAGGUUUCUGGGGCUGAUAAAAUUCAACAGUUUAGACCUAUAUGCCUCCUUAGAUGCCCAUAUAAACUUAUCACCAAAGCCAUGGAUCGUAGGGUUGAGAAACAUGCUGACAAACUAAUCAGCCCCACCCAGAAUGCUUUUGUGAAGGGUAGGAAUAUCAUGGAUGGGGUUCUGUCUCUUCAUGAAAUCCUUAACUACACCCAUGUUAAAAAAAGGGUGGGCAUUGUGUUGAAGCUCGACUUUGAAAAAGCCUAUGACAAAGUCAAUUGA